UACGUAGGGGGCAAGCGUUGUCCGGAUUUACUGGGCGUAAAGCGCGUGUAGGUGGCGAUGUAAGUCGGGUGUGAAAUCCCUCAGCUUAACUGAGGAAGUGCACUCGAUACUGUGUCGCUUGAGUGUUGGAGGGGAUGGCGGAAUUCCCGGUGUAGAGGUGAAAUUCGUAGAUAUCGGGAGGAACACCUGUGGCGAAGGCGGCCAUCUGGACAACUACUGACACUGAGACGCGAAAGCGUGGGUAGCAAACAGG
rnacentral:rRNA from 1 species